ACAAAGACACUAAUAUAAUUGAGCGUAAAAAUGGUCUUCAACGAGUGAUACAAGGAUUGAGCAGUAAGAAGACCUGCUCAAUUCGAGCAAAAGGAAACCAGCCGCAGUUCCAAAAAUAAUUUACAUAUUUGAAGGGUAUGCCAAGAGUAACUUACAGUUUAAAAGAUUUUUCUUAUCAGUUUUACUUGAAUGGGCUCCUCCUCUGCUGCGUCCUCUUUGUUGCGGCGUGUUGCGGCUGAUCGGAGAAGAACCGCCUAUCAUGAUGACAGAUGCGCAUGUUUCUUAAUAUUGGAACUGUUGAUGUAAUCUCAAACCCACCGCUAGCUGAAGGUAAAAAGAGAAAGGGAAGGGGGAAGACAACAGAGCUUUCAAUCCAAAAGAAACGUAAAGAUAGUGACAAUGGAAAGUUGAAGGUAAUUAUUCCGCCAGAUCGAACUAUAGCAGUAGGUCCUGGAGCUAAUGAUUCUUUUACCAAACUCUCUGUCAAAGUUGUGCAUAAUGCUCGGCAUGAUGUCAAGAAUUGGAUUUAGCAAAAGAUAGGACUGUUGCUCAUAUGCUGGUAAUUCACUCUGUUCCCUUACAAUUUUCUUAUUGGUCUAGUACACAUAAGCAAACUCUUAAUUCCAGAUUACUUCUAAUUUUCUUAUUGGUCUGGGAGUGUUUUGCUCUCCUGACAAAAAGUGGCAGCAUUUUCUGUCUUUCUUGUGAUAAUAAUUGAUAAAUUUGUCGCCAAGACUUUAAAGAUGCUAGAACCUUAAGGUUUGGGUAAAAGAGAAGUUUACCUACUAAAUUAUUCUAGCUAGCAUUUGUACACAUGUUAUGUUAACAUGUCCAUAUGACCACUGGACUUCAUUCUGAAUUAAACUUAGCAAGAGAUAAGUUUUUCUGUUGCAUUUCAGAAUAAGAAAUGAAACUAUUAUGUCCAGUUGAGGUGAUGUUUUAGCUUAAGUCAACUAAUCUUCCCACUCCUUAAUUGUACAACCAAUUCAUAUUUACUACUACUAUUAGAUAUAAAGGUGAAAGCAUCAGAAGAAUAUAUGCAAUCACUGUUCCCAACCUGUUUGAACAGCAACUGUGCAACUCCAAUUCAUUAACUUCUUUCACAAAAUGCUGCAGCACACAUACAGCAACAGCAAAAAAUUCAGUGUGAUUCCACAAGUGGGAUCUGGAGAAAGUGGGAUAUAUUAUUUUCGAUUGUUUUCCUAUAGUACACUUGCCAAGACUUCUGAAGAGUUGGUCUAUGAAGCUUCUGGAAGAAAACAAAAAGUUAUUGUAGUUAUGUUAAAACCAAGAGAGGACUUACUCUGAUCUUUAACGAGGAUAAACCACAUACUUACCAUAUGAUCCACCUAAUAACACAGCAGGCAUGCCUGAGUUGAUAAAUUACUUUUGUCGCUCCCACUAUCUCUGUUUCUGACUCGUUCCCAUAUCAUUCCUUUCCACUUAUUUGUAUGACAAAUUAAGUUAUGUAAUUUUGCUAUGUUUAACCGCAUGGAGUUUCUGCUGGAAUUCUCAACAUUAUUUCUAAUUUAAGUGGUUCAAAUGAGGCAAGUCGGUCAAGACUUAUGGAUGACAUCACGGAUGAGCAUGAGUAAACCAAAAUAGCUGACAAUAUGGAUCACCUAAUGCUCAAGCUACUGGAAGAAGAUUUGCUGUAUGGGUUGUUAUUAGAUUAGAAAUUAUGACCUUGUAGAUGCUCUUUUUUUUUUUGUAAGUAAAAACAUGUGUUUUGGUAGUAUUUAGUUUUUGAAAGUACAUAAAUACUUAGUUCAUCAGUUGUAUUGAC